AAACGAGAGUCAUGCGCUGAUUUAUUGCUAAAUGACUUUUCUCCCUUCGCCGAGUUCACUGAAACCUUUGUGAAACGUGAAUGAAAAGACCAACAUGGCGAAAGAACACCGUACAUUUAAAGAGGAGUGCAGUUAUAUUGAGCGCUUAAACGAAAACUCGUUUCUUAUCAAGAAAGGCUUUGUCCCAAACAUGAAGGUUGAAGGUAUCUUAGAUAUAUAAACGAGCUGCUCGAAAAACUAAUGUUUGAUGAGCUGAAGCACUGGGCUGGAACUCAAGAACUGGAGUGUCAUGGCAGCAACUUCCAGACAUGGUCUGUUCUCGUUAUUCAGUGAUGACAAACCUCUUCUCAGUUGCCAUGAUUUAAAUAUUGUGUAUUGUGUCAACCCAGAAGAAUCAGGGAGCAGAGCCUUAUUCAAAUAAAUCAUGAAUAUCCAAACUGAGCAGGAAUUGUCCCCGGGCCCACCGACGUGCUGGCACACAUUGGCUAUGUUCCUCGAACAGUCAUUCAGUACGCUAAGUACCUUCUAAGAGGCAACAGUAACGUUGAACUUUUCAUGGUCAAGGCAAUUACUAAUAUUCUACAAGUACUAGAAGACGAAGCACUGUAGAUUCCUGAUAGGUGCAAACGUGUGCGCAUCAGGUCACUAGCGAUGAUAAAUACUUGCAAGGCUAGUGAUCACCAUCAACCUUUUCCUGGUCUUGUUUGAAACCACCAGGAUUCGAUUUGAAAGAAGUAUCCGUCGUUAGCCCUCUGAUUGAAGAAGCUGUUGUGCAGUUUACGUUGGAAAAUCCUAAUUAUUUGUUGGAUGUAGUGGAUACCAUAAAAGGCCUAUCUGCAGGGAGACCUGGCAACUUAGUUGGCAAAUAUUGGGAGAAGCUGAUAUUUAGCAAUCUCAAGGAAUGUGUGAAAAAUGAGUAUUCCUUCAAGGAAGAGGCAUGUGGUUCCACUGCUGCUAGAUCCUACUUAAAUUUGUGUGGACAUCAAAGCAAAACAGAUACGAGAAAAUCGAUAGAGCAGAUAACUAGAGAUAAAUAUAGUGCAAUGAUAGUCCAUUGUCCUAAUACCAGCGCCUUUGACUUUGUCAUCGUUCAUAAAUGCAACAAAAUUCAUGCCAUUCAGGUAACCGUUCAAACCGCUGCGAAGAAAUGUAACGACAGUGACUUUUUCAAGACUGAAAAUAUUCACUUUACGUAUUUACUAGCGCCUUAUGAGGUCGACGUCAACGCUAUUAAAUUGAAAUAAAAGUUAUAUGAUGCA